AUCUGUACAGUUUGACCUAUUAAUAGGAUGCCAAUUAUGUAGACCAUUUUGCACCAAAAUAAUUUUGUAGAAUUAUCAUCAUACUUCAGCUUAAGAUAAGUGUCAUUUGUUUUUUAAUUUAAAUAGAUAUAAUUGAAAUAGACACUUAUACCAAAGUAUAUCCAAGGUCACAAAAAUGUUGCACCUGGCCUCACGAAGUAUGACACACUGCUGAAAUACCAAAAUAGAAAGAAAGUAGCUGGUACUUACUGGCAGAAAGGGCUCAUAACUGCACAGAUUGCCUGUGACUGGUCGAAAUUACUUCGACAAAUUUUAUCAGCCUAGAUGAGAGUCGGUACUCGCUGUCUGGAAUAAAAUAAAAACGCAGCAAUAUUUUUGUGGAUGUAGAUCAUUCAGUUUAGUACAGUCCUGAGAAAGACUGUUGGUUAUAGUAUUGCUUAUCACGAAGUAACAUUGUCAUGCGUGGAAUUGGACACUGCGAGAAGAUUUGCUUAAUACUGGCGAGUAGACAUCACUAUACAUCAAAAACACGU